rnacentral:rRNA from 1 species
AUUGGACUGAGACCCGGCCCAAACUCCUACGGGAGGCUGCAGUAGGGAUCUUCCACAAUGGGCGAAAGCCUGAUGGAGCAACGCCGCGUGUUGAUGAAGGCUUUCGGGUCGUAAAGCACUGUUGUAUGGGAAGAAAAGUUAAGGUAGGGAAUGACCUUAGCCUGACGGUACCAUACCAGAAAGGGACGGCUAAAUACGUGCCAGCAGCCGCGGUAAUACGUAUGUCCCGAGCGUUAUCCGGAUUUAUUGGGCGUAAAGCGAGCGCAGACGGUUGGUUAAGUCUGAUGUGAAAGCCCGGAGCUCAACUCCGGAAAGGCAUUGGAAACUGGUUAACUUGAGUGCAGUAGAGGUAAGUGGAACUCCAUGUGUAGCGGUGGAAUGCGUAGAUAUAUGGAAGAACACCAGCGGCGAAGGCGGCUUACUGGACUGUAACUGACGUUGAGGCUCGAAAGUGUGGGUAGCAAACAGGAUUAGAUACCCUGGUAGUCCACACCGUAAACGAUGAACACUAGGUGUUAGGAGGUUUCCGCCUCUUAGUGCCGAAGCUAACGCAUUAAGUGUUCCGCCUGGGGAGUACGACCGCAAGGUUGAAACUCAAAGGAAUUGACGGGGACCCGCACAAGCGGUGGAGCAUGUGGUUUAAUUCGAAGCAACGCGAAGAACCUUACCAGGUCUUGACAUCCUUUGAAGCUUUUAGAAAUAGAAGUGUUCUCUUCGGAGACAAAGUGACAGGUGGUGCAUGGUCGUCGUCAGCUCGUGUCGUGAGAUGUUGGGUUAAGUCCCGCAACGAGCGCAACCCUUAUUGUUAGUUGCCAGCAUUCAGAUGGGCACUCUAGCGAGACUGCCGGUGACAAACCGGAGGAAGGCGGGGACGACGUCAGAUCAUCAUGCCCCUUAUGACCUGGGCUACACACGUGCUACAAUGGCGUAUACAACGAGUUGCCAACCUGCGAAGGUGAGCUAAUCUCUUAAAGUACGUCUCAGUUCGGACUGCAGUCUGCAACUCGACUGCACGAAGUCGGAAUCGCUAGUAAUCGCGGAUCAGCACGCCGCGGUGAAUACGUUCCCGGGUCUUGUACACACCGCCCGUCACACCAUGGAAGUUUGUAAUGCCCAAAGCCGGUGGCCUAACCGUAAGGAGGAACCGUCUAAGGC